rnacentral:pre_miRNA from 1 species
AAUAAAUCAAUUUUUUAUUUUUUAUCUUUAAUUUUUGACUCUUCGUCUUAUUUAAAAAAAUUUUGUGAUUGAUAUUUUUGUUUUUAUUAGAUGAUAAAUCAUGAAUAGUACUCUACAUGUGACUAAUUUUUUUAAUUUUCUAAAAAAUUUUCAAAUAAGACGAAUGCUCAAACGUUGGACACAGAAGCCGAAGAAUUCAUUUUUU